rnacentral:rRNA from 1 species
CUACGGGUUGCACCAGUGAGGAAUAUUGCACAAUGGGGGGAACCCUGAUGCAGCAACGCCGCGUGGAGGAUGACGCAUUUCGGUGUGUAAACUCCUUUUAUAUGCCAAGAAAAUGACGGUAGCAUAUGAAUAAGCACCGGCUAACUCCGUGCCAGCAGCCGCGGUAAUACGGAGGGUGCAAGCGUUACUCGGAAUCACUGGGCGUAAAGGACGCGUAGGCGGGUUGGAAAGUCAGGUGUGAAAUCCUACAGCUUAACUGUAGAACUGCACUUGAAACUUCUAAUCUAGAGUAUGGGAGGGGGAGAUGGAAUUAGUGGUGUAGGGGUAAAAUCCGUAGAUAUCACUAGGAGUACCUAAAGCGAAGGCGAUCUCCUGGAACAUUACUGACGCUAAGGCGUGAAAGCGUGGGGAGCAAACAGGAUUAGAUACCCCGGUAGUC